AUUUCAAAUGCAUAUAGUUUCAUGAGUGCUGUAACUGCAUACGACUUGACAGUUUCAUCAUUUGAAUAUGCGUCUGCCACAUCACAUAACUUCCCAGUAACAUAUGAAGCAGAAAACUUGCCAUCAGUAGUUCCAUAUUCCCCCAAUACCCAACAAAUGACUUGAAGAAAUAUAGAUGGAAGCUUUGGCUCUCCAAUAAUACGCAAAUAUGACUCCACAGCCGAUGAUCUCAAUUGACUAUCUGCAGUAUCAUCAUCUUCCCCAAAUCCCUCAGCAAUUAAGCGCAU
rnacentral:misc_RNA from 1 species